rnacentral:rRNA from 1 species
GACAGAGGAUGCAAGCGUUAUCCGGAAUGAUUGGGCGUAAAGCGUCUGUAGGUGGCUUUUUAAGUCUGCCGUCAAAUCCCAGGGCUUAACCCUGGACAGGCGGUGGAAACUGCCAAGCUGGAGUACGGUAGGGGCAGGGGGAAUUUCCGGUGGAGCGGUGAAAUGCGUAGAGAUCGGAAAGAACACCAACGGCGAAAGCACUCUGCUGGGCCGACACUGACACUGAGAGACGAAAGCUAGGGGAGCGAAUGGG